UUGUCACAAGAGUAUUGAUGAGAAUUUACUCAUUUAACCUUGUUCAUAUAAUAAGGUUUAAGUUAAAGCAAAAGAGAAAAAGAUAGCAGCUAUUUGGCUAAGAUUCGGAGAGGAAGAAAGGGAGAAGAAGCAGAAACAUUCUGGGUUAGAGAACUGUCCACAAUCACCUUCAAGAGCUCAAUCGGAAAGUCAUCCGUGGUCUGAUUGAAUCGAUUUUUUGAAAGCAGCUUCACAACACACUGGUCUUCAUUCGAUGAGCAGCUUAUGAUGGAGGAUGAGGACUUUGAAGAUUUGGUUCCUGAGAUCACAGAGCCAGAUUAUAAUUAUUCAAAUAUAAGCUAGGAGUUUGUUCAAGUGUGGGAGAUCUUCUAACCCAAGCGGGUCGCCGAGUUGGUAAGGGACAUUCAGCCGCAACAUCUUCAAUUUGAUAGAUUUGAUUUCUUAUCAAAAUUAGCAGCUCGGUUUGAAGUCUCAACGCCGGUUCAAUUUGGUCAGCUUUGGUGAAGAUGGAUUUAGAUAUGGAUGCCUGCAGUCAUCCACGAUCUAGAUAUUGCUAGGGUGUUAUUCAGCUUGUUUUGGCUGGUUGAGUUUGCGAUUGUCUUGUUUGCUGAUGGCAAUGCCGAAGGUGGAACUCAUACAUUCCCUUCUCGUCCAGUUGAGAGGUUAGGGCUGUUUUGCUCUCCCUCUUUUUGAUGUACAAUUUGUUCCUUUUGUUUUUCUCUUUUAUAAUUAAUAUAUAUGAUGUUAAUUAUUGACAUCAAA